rnacentral:rRNA from 1 species
UACGGGGGGGGCAAGCGUUGUUCGGAAUUACUGGGCGUAAAGGGCUCGUAGGCGGCCAACUAAGUCAGACGUGAAAUCCCUCGGCUUAACCGGGGAACUGCGUCUGAUACUGGAUGGCUUGAGCCUCGGAGAGGUCGGUGGAAUUCCGGGUGGAGCGGUGAAAUGCGUAGAGAUCCGGAGGAACACCAGGGGCGAAGGCGGCCGACUGGCCGAGUGCUGACGCUGAGGCGCGACGGCGUGGGGAGCAAACCGG